CUCAGUUCGGAUUGGAGUCUGCAACCCGACUCCAUGAAGCUGGAUUCGCUAGUAAUCGCGCAUCAGCCACGGCGCGGUGAAUACGCUCCCGGGCCUUGUACACACCGCCCGUCAAGCCAUGGAAGCCGGGAGUGCCUGAAGUGCGUGAGCGCAAGCAGCGCCCUAAGGUAAAACCGGUGACUGGGGCUAAGUCGUAACAAGGUAAC
rnacentral:rRNA from 1 species